rnacentral:rRNA from 1 species
UACGAAGGGUGCAAGCGUUACUCGGAAUUACUGGGCGUAAAGCGUGCGUAGGUGGUUUGUUAAGUCUGUUGUGAAAGCCCCGGGCUCAACCUGGGAAUGGCAAUGGAUACUGGCAGGCUAGAGUGCGGUAGAGGGUAGUGGAAUUCCCGGUGUAGCGGUGAAAUGCGUAGAGAUCGGGAGGAACACCAGUGGCGAAGGCGGCUACCUGGACCAGCACUGACACUGAGGCACGAAAGCGUGGGGAGCAAACAGG